GAGUGACGAGAGGCUUUGUCCGGUUCGGCGGUCUUUCUGUGAGGGUGUUUCGACGCGCUGGGCGGUUUGUGCUUUCAUCACAUUUGUUAACAGGUCAAAAUGCAGAUCUUCGUGAAGACCCUGACCGGCAAGACCAUCACCCUAGAGGUGGAGCCCAGUGACACCAUCGAGAACGUGAAGGCCAAGAUCCAGGAUAAAGAGGGCAUCCCCCCUGACCAGCAGAGGCUGAUCUUUGCCGGCAAGCAGCUGGAAGAUGGCCGCACCCUCUCUGAUUACAACAUCCAGAAAGAGUCAACCCUGCACCUGGUCCUCCGUCUGAGGGGUGGCAUGCAGAUCUUCGUGAAGACCCUGACUGGCAAGACCAUCACCCUGGAGGUGGAGCCCAGUGACACCAUCGAGAACGUGAAGGCCAAGAUCCAGGAUAAAGAGGGCAUCCCCCCUGACCAGCAGAGGCUGAUCUUUGCCGGCAAGCAGCUAGAAGAUGGCCGCACUCUCUCUGAUUACAACAUCCAGAAAGAGUCGACCCUGCACCUGGUCCUCCGUCUGAGGGGUGGCUAUUAAUUAUUCGGUCUGCAUUCCCAGUGGGCAGUGAUGGCAUUACUCUGCACUCUAGCCACUUGCCCCAAUUUAAGUUUAGAAAUUACAAGUUUCAAUAAUAGCUGAACCUCUGUUAAAAAUGUUAAUAAAGGUUUUGUUGCAUGGU